rnacentral:tRNA from 1 species
AAGGGCCACUUUGAUAGAGUGAACCAUGGGGGUUAAAGUCCCCCCAACUCCU